rnacentral:rRNA from 1 species
CUACGGAGGGUGCGAGCGUUACUCGGAAUUACUGGGCGUAAAGGGCGCGUAGGCGGUUUGAUAAGUCAGAUGUGAAAGCCCGAGGCUUAACCUCGGAAGUGCAUUUGAAACUGUCAAACUUGAGUAUGGGAGAGGGAAGUGGAAUUCCUGGUGUAGAGGUGAAAUUCGUAGAUAUCAGGAGGAACACCGGUGGCGAAGGCGACUUCCUGGACCAAUACUGACGCUGAGGCGCGAAGGCGUGGGGAGCAAACAGGAUUAGAAACCCGAGUAGUCC